rnacentral:lncRNA from 1 species
AGAAAACAUCGGCAAUAAUUACAUAAUGAGGAAUUAACGAUAUUGUACAUCGUUUAACUAAUAGUUUGGUCAUUUUUUCCCCUCCCUACCUGGUAAUAAUUGUUAGUUUUGUACAACUCCUCCCGAAAACUUUUAUAAUUCGAUAUUAACUUACAAAAAAAUCUACUCGAUCGGCGAUCGGGAUGAGUUUUUUCCCUCCCCCUCCUCCUCCUCUUCUCGUAGGCCAUUUCCAGCAGUUUUGACAUAGAAAAAUCUCGGAAUCGGGUUAAAAACUAUUUUGAAAAUUAAUUAUUUUCAUCAUGUCGCAGUACGGGAGGGAGAAGAUUUCGAAAACGAUCAAAAAUUACGCACGUAAACACUCGGUGGUAUAUAAUUUUUUCUUGCAUUUGCUUCUUGUUUUUUUUUUCUCUGCAAUUAUUUUGAGUCAGCUGUUUCGAUCAUUAUCCAAACAAUUCAUUCGAACGUUGUUGACCGAGUUUCGUAUUUUGCCCUUUAAAACAAAUAAAGUACGCCGAUCAGCUGUUGUAUACAGAAAACAUUACGAUAUGAUUUAAGAGAAGAAAAGAGUAAAAAUGAGACGUUUCGCAACAUUAAAAUAAUUGCAUUGCUUCACUUAAUACCGAUACUCAUUGUUCGUGUUCAUAACCAACAAAAGGGGACAGAAAUUUUCUUGUUGGUUUCUACGCAGUCCAAGGAUCGUUCCAGAGGAAUUACGAAUGCUGACGACAUUCGGAAAAGGGAGAAAUAUGGGACCAAGGACGAAAACAUAAGAGGGGGGGUGAAAUUUUUUUGUUUUAUUUUUUUUUUGUAACUAUACAACAGAUGCCACGCGAUUAUCCGAUUUCUAGAAGCGUAAAGAUUUUUGUUUUAAGGUGAUAUCGAACCGUUUGGCCAAGAGAUCCACUCCCAGAAGAGAAGAGAAUGGCUGUUAAAUGAAGACAGAUGGUGGAAGGAUUGUGCAGCGGAUGGAAAUAUUGAAGGCUUGCCAGGCCCUAUAUCGAAAACUUUAAAAGCAUUUUUCGGUAGGGAUUGCUAGAUGAAUGGCCCAUCGGUCAAAUGUAUUUAAAACUUUCAUACUACGCUAGGCUCCAAUUCCAAAAUAUCGACGGAUGCGUCUUAUGAUAUUUUUGAAAAUUUGAUGUCGGUCAGAUACUUAAAAUAGAAGAGAGAGAGAGAUCCAAGCUCGUUCCGUUCGCAUGAAAAUUUCCUGAGGGUUCCAUAUUCCAGAAAAGAUGGAUUAUUAAACACGUUGGUUCCCAAACUAUAUUUAAACUCCUCUCCGGUAGGAAUACUCGAUUCGUUUUUGUGGAAACUCGUUCGAGAGGUUGGCUUUUAUAGAUUAAAGUGUGGAUCUCUGCCAUUAUAGUAUUUCGAAAAAAAUAAAAAUGGACGAGGAAGAAUGUCUAUUGACGCGUUUUCUCUACCAUUCAGUGAUUGAUGCAAUGUGUGUUGUAGUCCGCUCUUCCGCAUCGGAUUCCUCACGCGAUCUUAGCCGACCGGAUGUGAUGUCAUAUUAACUAGCGCUUGCAUCCCAACGUGAGAAACCGAUUUCUCAAAUGCUUCAUUCCAGUUAAAGGGUUGAAGUAUCGAACAAUAGAACGGAUCCAUUGUUCGAGAAGCGGAGGUGGAUCCCAUUGUUUAAUUAACGACCAUAUACAACAAGACUAAUACGCGGCACUAUCGAUAAGAACAUUGUUUCUCCUUUACCACGUGCGUGGGAAAGCAUCCCAACUACUGGCAUUUAACGUGUAAUGGUAAGUUCCCAUUAAAGAAGCGUGCCGUGAACGCCGUGUGUUACUUGUUUAUUGAUUUAACGCGGCGAUUAUUAUUAUUUUUUAUUAUUUCCAUUUUUUUUCACUUUAUUCCUGUACCUGCGACCUUGUCAGUGUCGCGCACCUCACAAGGUGUCCUCAUGCAUGAAUCGAACAUACCUCUCUUGUCUUUCACUCAGUAGACUGCACACAAGAGAUUUGGCUUCAUGUCUCUUUUAUCUUUUGAUUGCAGAGUAAUCUCGCUCUCUACUGGCAUCCGGACGGAUUGACGAUUGUCUGAUCCAACUGUCCCAUCUAAAGAAACAAGAACGGAAACCAUGGGACGAAAAAAAAUACAGAUUUCUCGGAUAACGGACGAAAGGAACCGGCAGGUAAGUGCUGUUCUAGUGUGUUAAUUAAGCGUUUUCGACCGCGUUAAAUUAUUGUAGUAAAUCUUUUUUCUUAAUUUAGUUCGUGUCGGCAUUGUUUAAACAUCGCGUGAACGAAAAAAAAAAUUAUACGUGUAUUUAUAUAUAUCGCACAGUUUCGAUUGUUCUUUGACAAACCGUGCCUGUCUCUGCUGCGUAACGGGAAUUAUUAUUAUUAUUAUUAUUAUUGUUUAAAGUCUCUACUUUCUUCCGCAUUCGGUUAAAUUUCAUCCCUCCUUUUUAAAGAUAAUCC